rnacentral:rRNA from 1 species
GACGAACGCUGGCGGCGUGCUUAACACAUGCAAGUCGAACGGAAAGGCCCUGCUUGCAGUGUACUCGAGUGGCGAACGGGUGAGUAACACGUGGGUGAUCUGCCCUGCACUUCGGGAUAAGCCUGGGAAACUGGGUCUAAUACCGGAUAGGAGCCAUUUUUAGUGUGAUGGUUGGAAAGUUUUUUCGGUGUAGGAUGAGCUCGCGGCCUAUCAGCUUGUUGGUGGGGUAAUGGCCUACCAAGGCGGCGACGGGUAGCCGGCCUGAGAGGGUGGACGGCCACAUUGGGACUGAGAUACGGCCCAGACUCCUACGGGAGGCAGCAGUGGGGAAUAUUGCACAAUGGGCGCAAGCCUGAUGCAGCGACGCCGCGUGGGGGAUGACGGCCUUCGGGUUGUAAACUCCUUUCGCUAGGGACGAAGCUUUUUGUGACGGUACCUAGAUAAGAAGUACCGGCUAACUACGUG